rnacentral:rRNA from 1 species
GCGAAAACUUUACAAUGCUGGCAACAGCGAUAAGGGAACCUCGAGUGCCAGGUUAUAAAUCUGGCUGUCGAGAUGCCUAAAAAGCAUUUCAUAGCAAGGGCCGGGCAAGACCGGUGCCAGCCGCCGCGGUAACACCGGCGGCUCGAGUGGUAACCGUUAUUAUUGGGUCUAAAGGGUCUGUAGCCGGCCGGAUAAGUCUCUUGAGAAAUCUGGCAGCUUAACUGUCAGGCUUUCAGGAGAUACUGUCUGGCUCGAGGCCGGGAGAGGUGAGAGGUACUUCAGGGGUAGAGGUGAAAUCUUGUAAUCCUUGAAGGACCACAAGUGGCGAAGGCGUCUCACCAGAACGGACCUGACGGCAAGGGACGGAAGCUAGGGGCACGAGCC